rnacentral:rRNA from 1 species
GGGGGGGGUAAGCGUUGUUCGGAAUUACUGGGCGUAAAGGGCUCGUAGGCGGCCAACUAAGUCAGACGUGAAAUCCCUCAGCUUAACUGGGGAACUGCGUCUGAUACUGGAUGGCUUGGAUCCGGAAGAGGGAUGCGGAAUUCCAGGUGUAGCGGUGAAAUGCGUAGAUAUCUGGAGGAACACCGGUGGCGAAGGCGGCAUCCUGGGCCGGUAUUGACGCUGAGGAGCGAAAGCCAGGGGAGCAAACGGGAUUAGAUACCCCGGUAGUCCUGGCCCUAAACGAUGAAUGCUUGGUGUAGCGGGUAUCGAUCCCUGCUGUGCCGAAGCUAACGCAUUAAGCAUUCCGCCUGGGGAGUACGGUCGCAAGGCUGAA